AUUGAACGCUGGCGGCAGGCCUAACACAUGCAAGUCGAGCGGAGCGGCGGACGGGCGAGUAAUUCCUAGGAAUCUGCCUGGCAGUGGGGGAUAACGUCCGGAUACGGGCGCUAAUAUCGCACAAUACCAGAUGAGCCUAGGUCGGAUUAGCUUGUUGGUGGGGUAAAGGCCUACUAAGGCGACGAUCCGUAACUGGUCUGAUAGGAUGAUCGGUCGCACUGGAACUGAGACACGGUCCAGACGCCUACGGGAGGCAGCAGUGGGGAAUAUUGGACCAUGGGCGAAAGCCUGAUCCAGCCAUGCCGCGUGUGUGAAGAAGGUCUUCGGAUUGUAGAGCACUUUAAGUUGGGAGGCGUUACCAACAGAAUAAGCACCGGCUAACUUCGUGCCAGCAGCCGCGGUAAUAC
rnacentral:rRNA from 1 species